CUUAAUGCCACCCUCUGACAAUACUAUGUCACAUGCUUUGUGCCAAAAUUGUCCCCCCACUCCUUCCCUUACCCCCAAAUCAUAAUUCUCCUUUUCUCAGUGAGCAAAUUCCAGCUGUAAGCCUACAAAAGUAAUGUACUGGAGCAAUCCCCAGCACCUGCUUGCUAAUGACCCUGUGAUAAAGCUGAAACUCCUUACCUUAGGUGUUCUCUCAUGCAGCAACCUGCAAGAUGUGCAUGUGAAUACGCAGAAGCACACCUGAAGGAGCUAACACCAAACUGAAAACCAAGGUCACCUCUGGGGAGGUGAGGAGGAGACCAGAAAUGGAGGUCAGCUGAGGGUUCUGAUCCAUGCCAUCGUCAUUCAGGGAUCUAGACCUCAUCAUCUGAAAUGUCAUUGGUCACCAUGGUAGAGAGAAGGAUCACAAUCAACAUGACAGAAGUAGAAGCUCUUUCCAUCCCACUCUCUUUGACCUAACAGGGAUCAGCGUCUUGAGACUCCACUUCUGAAAAGCUGUAUGUAAUGAUGAGUCAUCAAAGGCUCUUGAAACAUC